UACGUAGGGGGCAAGCGUUGUCCGGAUUUACUGGGCGUAAAGAGCGCGUAGGCGGAAGGUUAAGCGUGGCUUGAAAGCCCCCGGCUCAACCGGGGAGGGCGGCUGCGAACUGGCCUUCUUGAGGUCGAUAGAGGAGAGCGGAAUUCCUGGUGUAGCGGUGAAAUGCGUAGAGAUCAGGAGGAACACCCGUGGCGAAGGCGGCUCUCUGGGUCGGACCUGACGCUGAGGCGCGAAAGCGUGGGGAGCGAACGGG
rnacentral:rRNA from 1 species